GACGAACGCUGGCGGCGUGCUUAACACAUGCAAGUCGAACGGAAAGGCCCUGCUUUUGUGGGGUGCUCGAGUGCCGAACGGGUGAGUAACACGUGAGUAACCUGCCCUUGACUUUGGGAUAACUUCGGGAAACUGGGGCUAAUACCGGAUAGGAGCUCCUGCUGCAUGGUGGGGGUUGGAAAGUUUCGGCGGUUGGGGAUGGACUCGCGGCUUAUCAGCUUGUUGGUGGGGUAGUGGCUUACCAAGGCUUUGACGGGUAGCCGGCCUGAGAGGGUGACCGGCCACAUUGGGACUGAGAUACGGCCCAGACUCCUACGGGAGGCAGCAGUGGGGAAUAUUGCACAAUGGGCGGAAGCCUGAUGCAGCAACGCCGCGUGCGGGAUGACGGCCUUCGGGUUGUAAACCGCUUUCGCCUGUGACGAAGCGUGAGUGACGGUAAUGGGUAAAGAAGCACCGGCUAACUACGUG
rnacentral:rRNA from 1 species